AGCAAUACCGCGCUGAUACGGAGGUGGAUCCGAAGCCUCUAGAAGGUUAACAUAAGCUCUCCACCUCCUACUCCUACUCAAUACGUCCCCGUAGUACAGAACGGUAACAUGUCUCUCAAUUAUUCAAGCUUGGGUGUACAGGGCCGGUCUCCUAGUACAGUCGUCAACUCGUACGACUUAACAACAUGCCCGAACAUGGGUUCAAUCCCCAAAUAGACCGCG
rnacentral:ribozyme from 1 species